AAUUCUCAAGCUGGGAUGUUUUCUCGGCUUGGUGUUGGGCUUUGCAGUUCCUUUGAUUGGGAUGGCUGGCCUCAAAAGUAUUAGCUGGCUUUUCAUGUGGGGAUUGGUUUGACUCAGCGUGAUAAUAAUCUGACCGCUGAGGACAUCUUCUGGCCAGAGAUGACCGAUUCUCAUUUGGGCUGCUUCUAAUCUUGGUGUAGAGCGGAUGCUGAAUCUGUUCCACUUUUUUCACC
rnacentral:misc_RNA from 1 species